AUACUGACCUGGCAGGGGAGAUACCAUGCUCACGUAGGUAGUUUCCCAAGGGCGAGGCUGAUCCGGAUAUGAUGACCCUUGCGACUUCCCCAAAUUGGGAAACUAGACUGCAUAAUUUGUGGUAGUAGGUUCUGAAUUGGUGCUUUCUCCCA
ensembl:snRNA U1 U1 spliceosomal RNA